CAAGGACAAUCAUCUGGUGCAAUAGAGGGAUAACUUCACCCAGUUGGAAGCAAUGAGGCAUUGUGUCACAGAGGAGCUGAGAUUUAAGGAUGGUCAAAAAUUAACUAGGUGAGCUAGUUUGAGAAAAAGAAUUCUGGCAAGUGGGAAGGGCAUGCAUGAGGUUAUGAAUACAGAAGACAACAAUGAACAUAAAGCCUUGGUAGAAAAAAGAAAAAACAAAAGUUGAACUCAGUGUGCAUCUGUGUUAUAAGCCAAAGAAGCAUGUAAACCAAGAACACCGAUGAAAUCAAUGUGAUUGGAAAUCUAAGAAGAUAAAAGGCCAGACUCAGUGCAAGCAGAAACAAGUGUAAAAACCAUCAUGUACAACUCAACAAUUUAUUGAAACAUAAACUCUGCCUGAAUAAAGAAAUAGGACAUCACCAGCACUCUCAAGACUAUCCUCUCCCUCACCUAAAGGCUGAGAACAUAGAGUCCCAAUACUGUGUACAAAUGUUACUUGGAUUAGUUGUUGCUAAUAAAGUAAUUUCUGUCAUCUGCUGGCUUCAAGGAAGCACCAUGCUCAGAGCCUUUCAGAUGUCUUUGAAAUCAAAG
rnacentral:lncRNA from 1 species